UGCCCACUUGUGGGUGGAUUAGUGGCGAACGGGUGAGUAACACGUGAGUAACCUGCCCUUAACUCUGGGAUAAGCCUGGGAAACUGGGUCUAAUACCGGAUAUGACUCCUCAUCGCAUGGUGGGGGGUGGAAAGCUUUAUUGUGGUUUUGGAUGGACUCGCGGCCUAUCAGCUUGUUGGUGAGGUAAUGGCUCACCAAGGCGACGACGGGUAGCCGGCCUGAGAGGGUGACCGGCCACACUGGGACUGAGACACGGCCCAGACUCCUACGGGAGGCAGCAGUGGGGAAUAUUGCACAAUGGGCGAAAGCCUGAUGCAGCGACGCCGCGUGAGGGAUGACGGCCUUCGGGUUGUAAACCUCUUUCAGUAGGGAAGAAGCGAAAGUGACGGUACCUGCAGAAGAAGCGCCGGCUAACUACGUGCCAGCAGCCGCGGUAAUACGUAGGGCGCAAGCGUUAUCCGGAAUUAUUGGGCGUAAAGAGCUCGUAGGCGGUUUGUCGCGUCUGCCGUGAAAGUCCGGGGCUCAACUCCGGAUCUGCGGUGGGUACGGGCAGACUAGAGUGAUGUAGGGGAGACUGGAAUUCCUGGUGUAGCGGUGAAAUGCGCAGAUAUCAGGAGGAACACCGAUGGCGAAGGCAGGUCUCUGGGCAUUAACUGACGCUGAGGAGCGAAAGCAUGGGGAGCGAACAGGAUUAGAUACCCU
rnacentral:rRNA from 1 species